UGCAGGGACAUCAAGGACACCUUUGUUUCCUCCUUUCACUUUCUCAAACAGAAUCUAGAGCCAUCAAACAAUUGUAUGGAAAACCUCUUUGAUUUAUACAUCAGAGGAGUAAGUCCGGGUGGACCCGUGUGGGAUCAUAUCAUGGGAUAUUGGAAGGAAAGCUUGGAGAGGCCAAAUAAGGUGUUGUUUAUGAGGUACGAAGACAUGAAAUCCAAGCCUCAUUUUCAGUUGAGGCGUCUUGCGUUUUUUCUGGGAAAGCCCUUCUCCGAAGAGGAAGAAAAUUCAGGUAUGCUUGAUCAAAUCAUAAGUUUGUGCAGCUUUGAUAAUAUGAGGAAUCUUGAGGUUAAUAAGAGCGAUACAACUAAGCUUGGUAUAAAGAAUCACACAUUUUACCGGAGCGGUCAAGUUGGAGAUUGGAAGAAUUAUUUGACUGCGGAGAUGGCUGGUAAGCUGGAUCAGAUCACUCAAGAAAAGUUUCGUGCUUCUGGAUUAUCUCUCUGAUAUAUUUUCAAUCAUCAUUGUGUGCUGCUGCUGCUGCUGAUGCCACCUGUUUUGUUGUUUAUACUUAUUGUAUGUAUGUAGUAAUUCCUGUCAUAGUUUAUGACAAGGAAUUUUGUGCUCUCUUCACUUGUGUGUUUCUGAAGUGUAAUUUUGUCUAUGCUUGAUAAUAAUUGGAUAAUGUAUUUCCUCCCCUUUAUAUUAAAAUCAUGUUGAAUUUUGUUCUUAAUUUCGAUUUAGGUUUUGUCCCUGAAAAAUGUUGUAAUAUAAUAAAAAUGUUGUUUUACAGUCACUGUAUUAUAACUCACUACAACAAACUAGUGUACGACGGAAAUAUUUUGUGCAAGUUCAGAAAGAAAUAUAGCUACUACGCUUUUUCCAUCACAAGUUAUCUAGAUAGUUUACUGAAAAUUUUCAACUUUGAAGAUCUGACAAUAGAGGGUACUAAUAAACUGUAACCUAUGCACACAAUUUAGAGUAAUUAUGUAUCAUUUGGUUAUUAGGCAAAAAAAAUCAUUGAACUCAUGACCAACUUGCAGUUGGAUCACUGAACUCAAAAAUAUGCAACGGGAUCAAAAAAUUAGAUUUAACUUGUAAUCAACUAACUGAAAAUAAAAAAAUAUGAUAAAAAAUAAAAAAAAUUGAAGAAAAAGCAAAAUUUUGGGGGAAAAAAAAAAUAAAAGUAGUUUCUUUAAUAAAAUUUCUGAAAACACGUGAGCGUUGCCUUCAUCAAUAAACAGGUGCAAUAUGCUGAUCAGUUUCUAAAAUAACAUCAUAAAUUAUGGAACCAAAAGCUUCACAGCCUCUUGAACUUUCUCCUGCUCCUUUCAAGCCAUUAAAUGGGGAUAUCGUUUACAGCCAAAAAUUCAUCGACUUGCUUUCCACAUUGCCUAAACAGAAGGAUUCUUUCGGAGUCGACAUUUAUUAUGACAAUGGUUUCUGGUGGCCUCUAGUAGCUGUGCAUUGCAUGAUCGUCGAUCGAGUCUCUAAAAUAUUUUCAACCUCGCAAAAACGAUGUCUUCCUCGCAACUGCUCCGAAAUCUGGCACCACCUGGUUGAAAGCUUUAGUCUAUACUUUACUCAACCGCCAAGUCCACCAUCCUCAAGAUCCUCACCACCCCUUGCUAACAACAAAUUAUUCCCAUCAGCUUGUUCCCUUUCUUGAACUACUUGAACACUCUGAAUACGACUCGUUAUCCAACUCUUUGGAGAGCAGCACCAGGAUCUUCGGGAGUCAUUUGCCAGCGGCUAGUCUUCCUGAGUCUGUGAUACAGGAAAAUGAGUCAUUUAAUUGUAAGAUAGUGUAUUUGUGCAGGGAUAUCAAGGACACGUUUGUUUCCUUCUUUCACUUUGUCAUCAAGCAUGUUGAUCCGUCCUCCACUUCUUUGGAAAAGGUCUUCGAUUUAUACAGUAGAGGACUCAAUGGAGCCUGGACCGGUCUGGGAUCAAAUCAUGGGAUAUUGGAAGGAGAGCUUGGAGAGGCCAGAUAAGGUGUUGUUUGUCAAAGUAUGAGGACAUGAAAUGCGAGCCUCGUGUUCAGUUGAGGCGUCUUGCACUUUUUCUAGGGAAGCCCUUGUCCGAAAAAGAAGAAAAAUCAGGUUUGCUUGAUCAAAUCAUAAGUUUGUGUAGCUUUGAUAAUAUGAAGAAUCUUGAGGUUAGUAAGAGCGGGACAACUGGGCUUGGUAUAAAGAAUAACACACUUUACCGGAGUGGCCAAGUGGGAGAUUGGAAGAAUUAUUUGACUGCGGAAAUGGCUGCUAAAUUGGAUCAUGUUACUUGAGAGAAGUUUCGAGGUUCAGGAUUACCAAUACACUAAUCAGGUCGGUUAAUUAAGAGGCCGUUUGGGUGAGUUUAAAAUAAGUGGUUCUUGCUCAAAAUAAAAAAGUGGAGCAGAAGUUAGAAGCAAGAUAAGACUUAUAAGUGAUUAAAGUGUUUUGGAAAUAAGUAGAAGUGUUUGAGAAAUAAGUAGAAACUCUGAAACAAAAGCUAGCAUUCCUAGCUUUUUAUAAGGACUUAUUAACUUAUUACACAAACACAAAUAAGUGUCAUAACCAGACUUAUAAGUUCUAAACAAACACCCACUAAGUUUGAAGGUAAUUUAGAGGGUAGUGGCCAAGAGCCCAGAUUUAAAAAGGACCACUUUUUUAAAAUUUUAUAACUAAAUUACUUAUUAUUAUUGAUGCACUUCAUAAUCUAUCAAAAUCAUUCCACUACUUUCUCAUGAAGAUCCAGGUUUAGUUUUAAAAUUCUCAUAAUUAUAAAGAUGCUUGCUAAAUCAGUUUUUUCAAUAUUUUCAUCAAAUAUUACAUUAAAACCUUGACUUUUAUUAUUAUAUUACUAAUUACAUGUAUUUCAAAGUGAAUAAAAUAUAACUCCGAUUUAAUUUUUCAAAUUUUCUUUUCAAAAUAGGAAUAUAUAUUAAUAUAAUAAAUAGAAAAUUUUAAAAAAUAAUAUAUAAAUAUAUUUUCUAUAUUUUUUAAAAUAAUAGCAAAAAGUUAAAUGACUGAGUACUAUAAAAAAAUUUAUUAAAGUUUUUGCCUCUGUCCCAAAAAUAUAAAAAUCAGACCGAUGCUGAUGAUGAAGGCAACCGAAUGAUUCCACUUCACGCGAUUCUGGGCAGCUACGAUUUAAAGCAUCAUAAAUGGAUCCAAUGCUCUCGAAAAUAUCAAAUAUGUACGUGUCACUCUGUCUUUUUAAAUAAAAUUAUAUGAUUAAUAUUCUAAUUUUAAAAUGAUAAACUUAGUUAUGGAGUUAGGAGAGAAAUGUGUGCCAAAAAUUUCAAUGGCUUAUAUUUCCAACAAAAAAUAGUAUUUAUAAACAAUUAUAUUUCUAAUAAUCGGUGGUUGUGAUGGUUAAAAACUAAUGGAAUGAUAGGACAUUAAUCACAAAGAUCAAUUCAACUAAAAAGAUAUUAUAUUUUGUACAUUAUAAUGAUAUUUGAUAUAUUAGUUUAAUUUAUUAUAUAACAUAUUAUUAUUUAAGAAAAUUUAUAUUACCUCUAUUCUUAUUUAUAAGCCGCUAGAUUAUUUAUACGUAACUUUAAGUGUUUUGAGCACAGUAAAAAUUAAUAUUUUUGUAAACUUUUUUUUGAAGAAAUAUAAUAUUCUAACUUUUAUUAAAAAAUAAAAUUUUUAAAAAUAUUAGAUAUGUGAUCAAAUUUUCUAAUGAUACAUGUAAAAAGUCAAAUAAUAAUAAACAUAAAAAUUUGAAGAUGCCAGUGAUUAAUCAGAUUUUGAAAAUGAAAUCCAUGAUCAAUCUUGAAGCUAGAAAUUUUGGAAUCAUGGGCAAAAGUACCAGAUAUAUUCCAAAUGAGACGUGCCAUACAUAUAACCGAAUGGACUAAGACGUUUUCAAGGUUAACUUGUUUGUGUUGUUACUUAAAAACUACUGUAAAAGAUACUCGUGAUCGGGCUUAUAGAAAACUCCUGCAACUCAAAUUGGGUUAUGAAAUACAUCCCGAGAUAUCUCCGAUCUCUCCUUUAUAAUCUCUUUUAUCUUUCUAUAUAUAUAAAGGUUAAAUACUAAAAUUCGUCUCAAUACACACCUCUAUAUUUAUAUAUAAAACAAAUAACUAUGCAAUUUCAAAUUUGAAGGAACACUAUAAGAUAAAGUGAAGGGAAAAACUAUACAAUACAUAGAUAGCUUUGGAGUAUAAUUAUACCGUCAAAUAUAAUAUUAAAAUGAAUUUGAAGUAAAGUUGAGGGAAUGAUGAGAGAAGGAAUGAUAAUGUAAAGUGAAAAUGAUGAAAAUUUAAAGAUAAAGUGUGAGUAUAAAAUAAAGUAAUGGCGUGAGAUUGCCUGAAGCUACAAUGCGGCAACAUACCCCACUCCGUGAGAGACACUGGGCCUAUAUCACUGUCCAUCACAAAUUGAACAGUAUUUUUGAAAAACAGUGGACUGAUGCCGACCACUUUGGAUGAUCUACAUAUUAGAAUCCGUUAGAAUCCGAUGGUACGCCUAAUUGAUGGGAGUACUAAUUACUUCUCUUUCUUAUAAAUUCAAUUGAUUUUUUCUCAUUUUCUUUUCUACAAAGUCUCCUAAAUUUCUGUCCCUUUUUAAUGGCUUGAAAUUUAUUGUCAAAAGUUAAGCCGGAACAUCUGAAUAUCAUCAUUGUAGUACAUAGCAUAAAAACAAAAAAAAAAAAGGAGAAAAAUCUUAAUAAUAUUAUUGGAAGUUUAGUACAAUGGUUCAAAACCAAUAAUAUAAUAAAUUAGAUUUCCAAUAUAAUAAAUUUAGGUGAUGAAAAACCUUCGAAAAAGUCACAAGAAAAGAGUGAAUGGAAAAGGGUGUAUGGAUGAUUAUUACUGUAUUAAUUAUAUACGUGGGGUAAGGUGCUAAAUUCUAAUGAUCUGUACCCAACACAGCUCAAUAAAUAUUAUAUAUAAUUCCUACUUAUUAUAAUUAAUAAUCUUUUAUAACAUCUAAUCUCUAAAUCGGGUUCUCGGUCCACUUGUUUAAUCCUAAAAUCGGUUUUUUUAUAACAGAACCAAGUCAAAUCUAUUCUCCAUUAUUGAAACACCAAAAGGUUUGUAUCGUUAUUUAUUGUUUUUCUUGGUGCUAUUAAGAAAACGUGUGUCGUUGGAGAAAAAUAUAAUAUUGUCUAUUAUUCCAUUGAAACGCUAUUUAUAUUUUUUAAUGUAGAAACCGUAGAGAACCAUUCUCUCUAAUACUUUAAAGUGUUAGAGGAGGUUCUUUUAUGGAUCUUAUAUUUAUAUUAAACACUCUCCCUCACUCGAAAUCCCAUUAUUUGGGUUGAAAAGUGGAUUACAGGCGCCCAAACCCGUCCAUUUUAAAUUGUGGGGUGGCAGGGCUUCGAACCUGAGACCUCCCGCAAACCAAAACUCUAUACCAUGUAAAGAAUCAUUCUCUCUAAAAUCUUAAGAUUUUACGCUAAGACUACCAUGAUUUUACGUCCAAGGAUUAUAACCAAUUCAUUGGAGAUUUAGAGUGUUAUUUUCAUAUGAUUUUUUAUAAUUUUUAUUUCUGUAUGCCAACUUUUUUGUGUUAAGAAUUGUUCAUGAUCGGAGUUGCUUUUAUAAGUAUUGCAAUAUGCAUGUGUUUAUCUAAAAUAUUGGAAUAAUAUGUCUAAAUUUUAAAAAGAAAUUGUUGUUUAAAAUAGAUAAAUUAAUUAUAGAUAAUAAAUAGAUAUGAUUUAUAAGUUAUUGAGAUGUUUGAUUAGUGUGAAUUAUAAAUCAAUAUACAUUUUAAUUUUAACAAUUUAUAUAAUAAAAUAAUAUUUAUAAAUAUUAUAAAAUUUAUUAUAUAUUUCAAAUAUAAAAAUAUAUUAAAUUAACUAAUUAAGCCACUAAGAGCAUUCACAUUGGAUACCUCAUCCCUAUCCCUAUAUUUUUACUAAAUUUAGUAAUUAUCCAAAAUUAUAUUCAUGAAUUCAAAAAUCUUCCACAUCUCAUUCCCCAUCCUAUCUUACCCCAUCCCUAUAUUCUCUUUUAUAAUACUUCUUUCUCUCUCUUUCAUUUAUCAUCUAAUCAAUUACAGUUAAAAAUAAAAUUAAAAAAAUGAAAGAAAAAAGAAUGGGGCAUGUAUAAUGAAUCCCCAAAUAUGAGGUUUAAGUUUUAAUCCCUAAAACUAAAUCCUAUUUUAGGUUUUGGAUGAAUUUGAUAAAAAAUUAAGAAAUUUCUUAAAUUAUGAGGAUAACGGGGGAGGCAACGGGGAUGCUCUAACACAGACAUGAUAGCUAUAAUGCCUUAAAAUCAACUAGACACCAGCACACCAAAUCUUACUAAAGUGCCAGCUCACAAUGAGUCAUUUAAAAUUAUAUACUUAUAUAUAAUAAGCGUAAGGGAGAUAAUUUGGUCGCAUGGUCUUCUGGUCCAAAAUCUUUUCAUCCGUUGAAUCUUAUAUAUAUUGAACAAAUAAGCACUGUUAGAUUGGAACAAAAUUAAAUUCUGUUCUCGAAGACAACUGAUAUCUACUUGCAUGUUUAUAAUUCUUUUUCUGAAUCCAAAACAAAUUCUGUCUUUCACAUGUAUAUGACUUUUUUUAAUCCUAAAUAAAUAUUUCCUACCAGUUUUAUUCGUAGAAUAAUAUAAAUCUCACCAUCACAAUUUUUUUAUAAUAUAUUUUAAAAUUAAUAAGCCGGAUUUAUGUGAGGAACAAAUACAAAAACUUUUGAUUAAUCCAAAAUAGAUUCUACCUUCUUGUUGCAUAUUUAUGAUUCCUUUUCUUAAUUCAAAACAAAUUAUGUUUAUCAAUUUUAAUUUAGAACCAUAUAAAUUUUUUGAAAAAUAUUUAAAUAACAUUAUAAUAAUUUUAAUAUAAAAUACAUUUAUUAAUAUAAUCUAAUAGGAGUUGGCAUAACGUAUUCCACUCAAAAUAUAUUAAAAUUUGAUAGAUAGAAUUUAAUAUUUUGGCAUGAUACAUACGAUAAAAAGAAUUGCUUGAUUAAAAUAAUUUAUUUGAAACCAUUAAUGGCUGUGAUGAUGUAUUUACCAAAGUUCUAACUUACAAACAAAUCAUAAUUUCGAAUUUCAUUUUAUUAGAAAUUUUUAUUUAUUAUUUAUAAAUUAAAUUUUUUCACACCAUUUAAAAUAUAUUUAAAAAGUUUAUAAAUAAUUAAAAAGCUCCUGUGCCCUUGCACGGGCUAUAAGCUAGUAUAAAUAAUACGGAAUUAAAGUAACAAGGUUGAGAUUAUAAACCUAACCGUAUAGUGUAUACUCCUGUAUAUUUACGCGUCACUUGCGGUAUGAAACCAACUCUGAUCCUUUAUAAAACAAGAUUACAUUACAUAUACUAACACGAACAUGGAGCCAAAAGCUUCACAGUCUCUUGAACUUAUUGAAUCAGUGAACGAGGAGAGAGUCUACAGUGAAGAGUUCUUGGACUUGCUCUCAACCUUGCCAAAAGAGAGAGAUGUUUUCGGAGACAACUUUUAUCAGUACAAAGGUUUCUGGUUUCAUAUAAAACCUUUGCAUGGCUUGGUCGAGUCUCUCAAACAUUUUCAGCCAAGAAAAAAUGAUGUCUUCCUCGUAACUGCUCCGAAAUCCGGUACCACCUGGUUGAAAGCCAUCAUCUAUACUUUACUCAACCGCCCAGUCCACCAUCCUCAAGAUCCUCACCACCCUUUGCUUACAAAAACUCCCCAUCAGCUUGUUCCUUUUCUCGGCUUACUCAAACCCUCUGAAUAUGACUUGAUAUCGAAUUCCCCGGACAGCAGUACGAGGAUCUUCGGAUUGCAUAUGCCAAUAAUUGGCCUCCCUAAAGCUGUAAUAGAGGACAAUGGCUCAGGUAAUUGUAAAGUAGUGUAUUUGUGCAGGGACAUCAAGGACACUUUUGUUUCCUUCUUUCACUUUCUCAACCAGCAUUUAGAGCCAUCAAACAAUUGUUUGGAAAACCUCUUUGAUUUAUACGUCAGAGGAGUAAGUCCGGGUGGACCAGUAUGGGAUCAAAUCAUGGGAUAUUGGAAGGGAAGCUUGGAGAGGCCAGAUAAGGUGUUGUUUAUCAAGUAUGAAGACAUGAAAUGCGAGCCUCAUGUUCAAUUGAAGCGUCUGGCACUUUUUCUAGGAAAACCUGUGUCCGAGGAGGAAGAAAAUACGGGUUUGCUUGAUCAAAUCAUAAGUUUGUGUAGCAUUGAUAAUAUGAGGAAACUUGAGGUUAAUAGGAGGGGAAUAGACGAUAGCCUUGGAAUGAAGAAUCACACGUUUUACCGUCGUGGAGUGGUUGGAGAUUGGAAGAAGUAUUUAACGGCAGAGAUGGCCGCUAAGCUGGAUCAUAUUACUGAAGAGAAGUUCCGUGGUUCAGGAUUAUUUCUCUGAUAUAUCGUCAUUAUGCUGGGGUCAAUAUUAAUAUCACUCAAGACCCAAGAGCACAUUUAUUUAUUUUUCAUUUCAAGUGUUUUUUGCUCUUUAUGGUUGUUAUUUCUGUGAUCUUUGGUUUUUCAGUACAAGUAUAAGUGUGCUCUCCAAUUCUGUGUCGGUGUGUUUUAUUUAAUAAAAAUGUGCUCAACUUUCUGGCCUAUGUUACUGGCAUACAGCACCCAUAGCUAAGAGUUAUGUUGGAAUUGUUCUCAAAUUCGAUUCAUAUGCAUGGACUGAAUAUUUGAAUUUACAUGCGCAACUUCAUCAUUAUAUUAUAUGGUCGCAAUCAUUUGUCAGUCAUUUUAGGCGACAAUCCUGCAAUGCAAUGGUCACGAGAUCUCCGAUGUGGACUACAAAUGGAUAUGCCAAUGUGAAUUUUUUACUCCAUGCGUUACAGAUGAGACAAGCUAUUAUAAAUUUAUAUCGAUUUUACAAAAUAAGUUGGCAAAUUGGCAUAUCCACUGAUGUUCUAAAAUCAAAGGAUGCAAACGGAGGCCUAUACUACCUCAAAUGUCUUCCAACCCUGCAGAUGCUAUUUCUAUUAGUCGAUCGUUUCAUUCAGCUUAUGUAAUCUAUGGAUUUGUAAUAACGUUUAGUCACUCUGUACUUUCGAAUUGUAACUCUAAAUUUGGUCUGCAUGCAAGAUUAAGAUCGUAGUGAUAUAAUUGCUAUAUUGGACAACAAAAGUAAAAAAAAUAUAUUAUAGAUUUAACCCAUGUGUAUAAUAAAAAGUGGUCGUAGAGAGUCACUCAUAAGUGAAAAAACACAUGAGAGUAUAAAGUUAAAGAAAAAAAACAAACAAACAUAUGAGAGUAUAAAGUUAAAGAAAAAAACAAACAGCACAAUAGAGUGUAAUAUACGUAAGUUAUUCUGUACAUAUUACAUAUUUCUGUAUGACUUUCUGUGGACGUAGCAUUACUAUGAAGUUAAAGAAAAAAAAACAAACAGCACAAUAGAGUGGUAGCAUUACUAAAUUAAUUAAGUGGUAUAGCCAGUACUGUAUUUGUAAAUGCUCUAAAUUGCAUGGCUUAUUUUCAGUUUAGUUCCCUCUAUUGUCGGAUCUUCAAAAUUGAAACUUAAUACGUAAUAAAUUACGGUUUCUUAACAGAGAUAAUUAUAAAUCAAACAUUACGUACUGUAAUAUAACAUAUUUUUAUUAAAUUACAACCUUUUUCGGGGACUAAACCUAAGUCGAGAUUAAGAACAAAAUGCAGCAUGAUUUUAAUAUAAAGGGGAGGAAAUACAGUAUCCAAUUAUUAUCGAGCACAGACAAAAUUACACUUCAGAAACACACAAGUGAAGAAAGGGAAAGAGAGCACACAAUUCCUUGUCAAAAACUAUGACAAGAAUUACUACAUACAAUAAUCAUAAACAAUAAAAACACUCUGAAAAAAUAUCAGGUGUGGUAGCAGCAGCAACACACAAUGAUGAUUGAAGAUAUAUCAGAGAGAUAAUCCAGAACCACGAAACUUUUCUUGAGUGAUCUGAUCCAGAUUACCAGCCAUCUCCGCAGUCAAACAAUUCUUCCAAUCUCCAACUUGGCCACUCCGGUAAAAUGUGUGAUUCUUUAUGCCAAGCUUAGUUGUACCGCUCUUAUUGACCUCAAGAUUCCUCAUAUUAUCAAAACUGCACAAACUUAUGAUUUGAUCAAGCAUACCUGAAUUCUCUUCCUCUUCGGAAAAGGCCUUCCCUAGGAAAAGCGCAAGACGCCUCAAAUGAAAAUGAGGCUUGGAUUUCAUGUCUUCGUACCUCAUAAACAACACCUUAUUUGGCCUCUCCAAGCUUUCCUUCCAAUAUCCCAUGAUUUGAUCCCAAACCGGUCCACCUCCAGUCACUCCUCUGCUGUACAGAUCGAAGAAGUUUUCCAAGGAAUUGGAAGACGGAUCAACAUGCUUGUUGACAAAGUGAAAGAAGGAAACAAAGGUGUCCUUGAUAUCCCUGCACAAAUACACUAUCUUACAAUUAAAUGACUCACUGUCUUCUAUUACGGAUUUAGGAAGACUCACUGUUGGCAUAUGAGUUCCGAAGAUCCUACUGCUCCUAUCAGAAGAGUUGGAGACAGAUUCAUAUUCGGAACGUUUAAGUAAUUCAUGAAAAGGAACAAGCUGAUGGGGAGUUUGACUUAGCAAAGGGUGGUAAGGAUCUUGAGGAUGGUGGAUUUCACGAUUAAGCAACGUAUAGAUGAUGGCCUUCAACCAGGUAGUGCCCGAUUUUGGAGCAGUUACAAGGAAGACAUCAUUCUGGCGAGGUUGAAAAUGUUUUCCAGACUCAAUUAUGCCAUGCAAGGGUACUUUAGGAAACCAGAAGCCAUUGUAUCGAAAAAUGUCAGCUCCAAAAGAAUUUUUCUCUUUUGGCAAGGUUGAAAGCAAGUCCAUAAAAUCUUGGCUAUAAACGAUCUCUUCAUCUAAUUGCUUAAAAAGAGUAGGAGAAAGUUGAAGAGGUUUUGAAGUUUUGGGCUCCAUGGUACUUAUUGCAGGGUUUUUGGGUAAACGACUGCAUGCCUAUUGCAAUACUUAUAUUAUGAACCCGCCAAGUGCCCCCGCUUAAAAUUAUGAUCCUCGCAAGAAUAUUUUUUUAUGUAAAACAUGUUUAUGGUGUCAAUCUCCGGUAAAUUAGCGAUCUUAAUUUAUUUUUUGGAGAACGUUCCAAUUUAUUAAGAGUUAACUACGAUCAUGAAAAAACCUUUAACUAAAAUUGAGUACUAAAAAUAAAAAAUAAAAAUAAUUGGUUAAAAAUAAUUUAUGGUGUCACAUGUAAAUGAUGUUCCUUGCCUUUGUUAGUACAAUAGUGUCGGUCUGAUCUUUUUAUUUUUGGCCCGAGGCAAAAUAUUAAAUUAGGAUAUUUUAAUAAUAUUUUUUAUAAUACUAAUGGAGAUCAAUCAUUUUAAUUUUUUUAUUAUUUUAAAGUGUAUAGACAAAAUAUUUUCAUAUAUUAUUUUUAAAAAUUUUCAUUUUAUUACAUAUAUACUAUAAAUAUUGGAAUAUAAAUAAUAAUUAUAUUUUUUAUUUUAUAAUACAUGUAAAAAAUCAAAAUCAAAACAAGAAAAUGAAUGAAGAGUAAAACACCACACAAGUAUCAUGCAGGGCGGGUACGUGGAAUUGAGCACAAAAAUCAUACGGAAUGGUAAAGACAAAAGGUUCUUAUGGUGUAAGUCAUAUGAAAGUCAAGGUUUUAACUUAAUUUAUGACGAAAAUAUUGAAAAAAAUUAUAAAUUUGUUGAGCAUGUAUAAUAAUGAGAAUUUUAAAACUUAACCCCGGAUCUUGAUAUCUUAUGGAGAAAGUAGAGGAAUGAUUUUGAUACAGGUGGUGGAUUGUGCCAUGUAUCCAUAACAUUAAAGAGUAUUUAAUUUAAAAUCUAAAAAAAAUUAAUGGGCCCUUUGUUAGAGUCUGUUUUGGAGUGUUGCUAAAGUUGUUCUGCUUGUCGAAAAAAUUGCAGGUAUUUUAGAGUCUGUUUUGGGUUUGAUUUUUAAGUUUCGCUUUCGGGUUCAGUUCGGUUUUAUACGAUUUUAGACGGUUUCAAUUUCAGAUUUAUUCGAUUUUUUGCUCACCCCUACUAAGCAGGCAUUGUACCAGUUGGCCGAAUUCCAUUCCAGAUGGUGCUAAGACUGCCAUCCAAGAUUUUACAUGAAGUCUUCGGCUUCAAUUUAACAACGAUUAUAAUCAACUCAUUAGAGAUUUGGAGUGUUAUUUUUAUGUGAUUUUUUUAUAUUUUUUAUUUUUGUAUGUCAACUUUUUUUAUUAAGGAUUAUUUAUGACCGGAGUUGCUCUUACAAGUAUUGGAAUAUGCAUGUGUUUAUCUUUUGACAUAUUAUUUUAAUCUUUUUAAAAUUUAGACAUAUUAUUCCAAUAUUUUAGAUAAACACAUGCAUAUUGCAAUACUUAUAAGAGCAGCUCCGAUCAUAAAUAAUCCUUAACAAAAAAAAUUGGCAUACAAAAAUUAAAAAUAUAAAAAAUCACAUGAAGAUAACACUCCAGAUCUCUAAUGGGUUGGUUAUAAUGGUGGUUAAAUUGAAAUCGAAGACAUCAUGUAAAAUCUUGGAUAGCAGUCUUAGCAUCAUCUGGAAUGGGAUUCGCCAACUCGUACAAUGCCUGCUUAGAAGGGGCGAGCAAAACACCGAAUAAAUCUGAAACUGAAAUCGCUUAAAACCGUAUAAAACCGAACCGAACCCGAAACUGAAAACUUAAAAACUGAACCCGAAACCGAUUAUGUGGUUAAGGUUAUAACUAAGAACGGAUCUAAAAAACCGAACCGAUCCGAUUUUUCAAAUAAAUAUUAUUUAUAUAUAAUUAUAUAUUACUUGUAAUUUAUAUUAAAUUUUAAAUUCUCAACUGCUGCAUGUGUUUUAUUCAAUUGAUUUUUUUCAAGAAAAGUGGUUGCCUGGUUGGCAUCAGUCCAUCACUGUUUUUCAAAAAUGCUGGUCAAUUUGUGAUGGACAGUGAUAUAGGGCCAGUGUCUCUCACAGAGUGGGGUAUGUUGCCGCAUUUGUAGCUUCAGGCAAUCUCAAACCAUUACUUUACAGCAAGUCCAAUAGGUUACCAAUCCUAUUACUUAUAAAUAAUCUAUAAGCUACAUAGGUUUAAUUUGUAGUCGUACAAAAUUUUGGUUUGGUCAUCUCCUUUAUAACUAGAACUCGGUCACAUGUAGACUUCUCUUACUCUUACAAUAUUAAAGAGUUUUAUACUGUUCAAAUUACAAACACUUGUGAUAUAAUACAAGAUAAAAAAUUAUAUAUUAUUUAUAUACUAUAUUAUUUAUAUUAUAAAAAACUAUAUAUUAUUUAUAUACUUCUUCUAAAUAUAAUUUAUAUAUUAUUUAUAUACUAUAUUAUAAUAAACCGAUAUUGGUAUAAUUCGUUCGUCGUCCAAAAAAUGUAAUCAGUUGGUAAAUAUAAUCUGGUUAAGAUAUAAUUCAUUAAUACUAAAAUACUAAUAAGAUGAUGUUAAAAUUUAAAUUAUAAUUAAUAAAUUACGAAUUUUAUACCCGCCCGUGCUUCGCACGGGUUAAAGGCUAGUAUAAAUAAUAAGUUGUAGUAUGUCUUAGUGAUUUAGGUAAUCUAUUUUUAGUGUCAACUCCAAUAGUAAUCCCUAUAUUUGUUCUCCUAAGAUUAUUUUAAUAAUAAAUUUGAGAGAGAAUAUACAAAGAAAGAAGGAGAGAGAUGAUUAUUUUAUUCAUAAAUAUUAAAUAAGUAAUGGCUAGGGGUUACUUAUAAAUAGGUAACGACUAGGAGAAUUAAGGUUGUGCUAGUGAUUUAGGAUAACACUAGGAUAGUGUUGGAGUGUAUUUUUUUAACACAUUACCUAAAGGUGAGUUUAGCACAUCAUAUAGGUAACCUAUUGGAUCUAACAACUUUAUCUUUAAAUUUCAUCUUUUUCACUUUAUAUUAUCAUUCCUUCUCCGAUCAUUCCCUCAACUUUACUUCAAAUUCNUAUAUAUAUAUAUAUAUAUAUAUAUAUAUAUAUAUAUAUAUAUAUUUUAACGUAAGAACCCGCGGCUGCUAUUCUUCAUGUGCGCACGGGGUAAACCCACAAGCUCACGCAAUAGUCUGCAAACUACGUGAACCAAAAUAAACCGCACCUAAACGCGACAGGCUCGGAUCCAGGAGGCAUAAUCACAAAUUCUGCUUCUAGAUCAAUUAAAAAAUAAUAAGUAAUUAAAAUUAGCCUGGUUAUUCGAAAAUCAUGAUUCAUGUUUGGAAAAAAUUAUAUGCAGAUCGCUAAUUUGUAUAGGAUCGGUCUGCACCAUAUAUAUUCUUUAAAAAAAAUAAAAAAUUCUGAACACUCCAAAACUCAACCCUCGUGCGUGUUACUCUCGCGGGGAUAAUAAUUUUAAGCGCAAGCCCUUCUUGGCAUGGAACAUACCUGUGCUCUCAGGGCACAUGUUUAGAACAUUUAUUAAUCUUAAUUUUCUGUAGAUCAUGCAGUACAGCACUCAAACACAUUAAUUACUAACUAGAAAAUUCAAAUGCUUAUACUUACCAAGUAAAUUUGAUACUUUAUAUAUUUGUAUUCUAUUAUAAUUCUAGUCAAUUAUUUUUUUAACAUUGUUAAAAUAAUUAAUAAUAUAAAAUAUGUUAGUGCAAAUUAUAACAAAGUAUAUCAUGUAAUAUAUACUGUAAUAGAUGUCUACACAUAUAAUAAGACCAAAAUUAUAUGGAUAAUAGUAGUAUUGUUCGUUUAAUUGACUGAUUUGUGAUAAAAUUUCUAUAUGUGAAUAAUAGAACAUCACUAUCUACCCAACACUAGGAUUGCCCAGAGAUCAUAAUAUAUUUCCACCAUCACUUGCAGUCUGAAACCAACCCAAUCGUUUUAAAACAGCAUUACAAUAUUACACAUACUAAUUAUCAUGGAGCCAAAAACUUCACAACCUCUUGAACGUUCUCCUGAUGCUCGAAAAGCAUUAUUGGAUGAGCAGAUUGUCUACAGUCAAGAAUUCCUGGACUUGCUCUCAACCUUGCCAAAAGAGAAAAAUAUUUUUGGAGCCGACAUUUAUCAAUACAAUGGUUUUUGGUUUCCUAAAAAACCUUUGCAUGGCAUGAUCGAGUCUCUAAAACAUUUUCAACCGCGAAAAAAUGAUGUCUUCCUUGUAAGUGCUCCAAAAUCCGGUACCACCUGGUUAAAAGCUAUUAUCUACACCUUACUUAACCACCAAGUCCACCAUCCUCAGGAUCCUCACCACCCUUUGCUCACAAAAACUCCCCAUCAGCUUGUUCCUUUUCUCGGAUUACUUAAACCCUCUGAAUAUGACUCUAUAUCAAAUUCUCCGGAUAGCAAUACCAGGAUCUUCGGAUCUCAUGUGCCAACAAUUGGCCUUCCUAAAUCUGUAAUUGAGGACAAUGGCUCAUGUGACUGUAAAGUAGUGUAUUUGUGCAGGGACAUCAAGGACACUUUUGUUUCCUUCUUUCACUUUCUCAACCAGCAUUUAGAGCCAUCAAGCAACUGUAUGGAAAACCUCUUUGAUUUAUACAGCAGAGGAGUAAGUGGAGGUGGACCAGUAUGGGAUCAAAUCAUAGGAUACUGGAAGGAAAGCUUGGAGAGGCCAAAUAAAGUGUUGUUUAUCAAGUAUGAAGACAUGAAAUGCGAGCCUCAUAUUCAAUUGAAGCGUCUUGCACUUUUUCUAGGAAAACCUGUGUCCGAGGAGGAAGAAAAUACGGGUUUGCUUGAUCAAAUCAUAAGCUUGUGUAGCAUUGAUAAUAUGAGGAAACUUGAGGUUAAUAGGAGGGG
rnacentral:lncRNA from 1 species